AUCAUUCAUAACCUGCCAAGUGUCAAAAGUUUUUACACUAUUGUAUUAUUAAUUAUAUUUAUAUCAGCAAAAUGUUUUCAAUUUAGACUUUGUAUUUAGGGUUUAAUAACAAAUUGCAGCCAGUGUUGUACAGUGUUGAUCGAUCUUGAUUACAAGAGCUUGUGGAAAUGAAGGGGGCCCAUCAGGAUUGGAGAUUAACAAAUUGCUGCCAGUAAAGUAAAAUGUAGAUCAAUUUUCAUUACAAGGUAAGUUGUCAAAAUCUGAAUUGUCAGGUACCUUACAGAAUAGAUCCAUACCACUAGUGUUUUUAAUUUAGACUUUUUAUGUAGAGCUUAUAGAAAUGGAGUCAUUUUCUCAUUUCAUCAUUAACAUUAAAAUUUCUUGCAGCAAAAAAAAAAUUGCAGGUAUUUAUAAUUAUUUAUAAAUUGAACGAAUAAAUGCUUAUAAUUAAUAAAUUAUAUGAAAUAUAUAUAUUCGUUUUUGUUAUCCCCUCUCCCUUUAUUUGACUCUAUUUAAUUAAAGAAACAAAUAAUAAUUUAGAUUUCUUAUGUAGAGUUUAGAGAAAUAUCAAUUUUAUUUUUAUAAAUUUAAAAUAGAUUCUAUAUAAUAAAUUAUUUGUAAAAAGAAGUGAGAUCUGAUAAAAAACUUCAAAAAAGUAAAAAAAUUACGCCAAAUACAUGAAAAAGUGGAGGACUCAAGGAGUUAUUAUUGAAAAAUAGAAGGUCCCCAUAAAAAACUAAAAGAAAAUAGAAAAACAUGUGAAAUCGAAAUAAGCUGCCAGAUAAUUUGCCUAGAUUUCCGCGGCCUGGAAGUCAAAUGCUUGGCGUGGUCAGGCAAGGUCAAGGUGUCGAUGAA